CUUCCUCUCUGAUAUAGAUAUAUAUAUUGUGUACUAUUAAACUAAUUUUGAUAUUAGCCCCUCAUAUUUAUUUGUUAUAUUUGUACGGUACUUUCGCUUAGGUAUAUUUGGUGAAGCUAGGUCGUCCUGGGUUAUCAGCCUACGUUCAUCUUUCGUAUUUAUAUUAUUGGAUAUCAUUUAUCCAUGUGUUAAAUUGAAGUGGUUUAGUCCGAUGGUAAAUUCCCUUUUCUUACAUUGGAGAGCACUCCCAACAUUAUCGGUGAGGUUGGAAAAGCUGAAAUUAGUUUGGAAAUUACCCCUAGAUAUAACCUCCUUCAAGCAAUCCGAAUAGAUAAUUUAUAGCAUUUUUACUUCUCUUAAAUGGGUAUAAUAAAUUUGGUGAAUUGCGUUGAAGAGUUUUCCUAACUACCAUUGUAAUCUUUCAA